AGGAGGAGGAGUACGCCGCUGC
rnacentral:misc_RNA from 1 species